GACGAACGCUGGCGGCGUGCCUAAUACAUGCAAGUCGAACGCUUCUUUCCUCCCGAGUGCUUGCACUCAAUUGGAAAGAGGAGUGGCGGACGGGUGAGUAACACGUGGGUAACCUACCCAUCAGAGGGGGAUAACACUUGGAAACAGGUGCUAAUACCGCAUAACAGUUUAUGCCGCAUGGCAUAAGAGUGAAAGGCGCUUUCGGGUGUCGUUGAUGGAUGGACCCGCGGUGCAUUAGCUAGUUGGUGAGGUAACGGCUCACCAAGGCCACGAUGCAUAGGCGACCGGAGAGGGGGAAGGCCCACACUGGGAGUGAGACACGGCCCGAACCCCGAGGGGAGGCAGCGUAGGGAAAUUUACGGGAGAGGGCGAAAGUCGGACCGGGCAACGCGGGUGGGGGAAAAAAGGUUUUAGGAUUGUAAAACUCUUUUGUUAGAGAAAAACAAGGACGUUAAUAACUGAACGUCCCCUGGCGGUAUCUAACCAAAAAACCAAGGCUAACUACGU
rnacentral:rRNA from 1 species